rnacentral:lncRNA from 1 species
UGCAAUCAUCUGUAUUUAUUUCUUGAUGCUUACAAGGUUUAUAUUGUUAGGUUUGGUUACUUUUGGUUUUUAUUUUUAUACUUUGACUUAGCCUUUCAGAAACAAAAGUCUCCUUUUCAUUGCCUUGAAAUAUUAUAAGUGGAGCCAGGUUUAGAAAUAUAAUUUUUCAUAGGAAAAAAGAGUCCACUCGCAAGGAAAAAAGUACUUUGAGAUGAUUUGAAUCCAAUUUGUUCAUACGAGUUCCAAAGGACAGCCUAAUGAUAUGUUACUAUAUUCGAACUAUUAGAAGAUAGUCUGUAUGAAGACCUGAGGUCUUAAAUUCCAUCUUACUAAUAAAUUAUACCUUUAAAAUAAUAGACUUAGGGAAUGAUAACUCUGUGCUUUCUCCAAGGAUUUGAGAUCAUAUCCUUCUCAGUAAUCCAUAUUUUAAAAAUGUUGAAGUAAGGAAGUUGGUCUUUCCUUUUGUCUCGAUAUCAGAUCAAUGACUAUAUUCAAAAUCACUUUUCUUGCCCUUUUUCUCAUGAAUUUCUCCUCUUAUUUUUACUGUACUUGUCAAAUAAGACACUGUUAAAUGGUAUUUUGAUAAAUAUUAGUUCUUCUUCCUUUCUAGAUAUAUGUUAGUAUAUGACCUUUGGGCAAUAUAAUAGUUAUGUGUCUAUAUAAGUACAGACAGGUUGUAACAUAAUCACAUGUUUUUACAAACAAAAUAAUUCUCAAAAAUACUUGGAAUUUAUCUUUUGUGAAAAAUACAAUUUUCAACUCAUUUGAACUAGGUCUUCAGACGAACAUAUUUUUGUUAUAAAGUUAUAUUUUUGUGA